GUUCAGUCUCCUGUAGACGGAAGAAAAAAGCAGAGCUCCAGAUGUAAAGCCUGAGCUGCUUUUCCUAUGAGAGUUGAGUGAAUCAAUGUGCUCCUGUUGGGAGAUUUAUAUGAGCAUCUCAAGGACUUCCCAUAUGUCACUGGGAAAAGAAAGACUAUCUCUGUUUAUACUAUUCACUAUGCCAAAGCAUCAGAACUGAGGGGGAAUGGCUGUACUAUCCCAGCAAUGUCUACACUGCCAACCUGUGUGUUUUCUGGUUUUGAAGAAAUUUUUGAGAAACUAUUUUUGAGGGAAUUUGGAUGGAAACUUAAGGCCUUAGAGAAAUUGAUCAGUUGUUCCUGUGUAGGAUCCUGAGUUCCUGUAACCAGGAUCUCCAGCAAUGGCUCUAUUUAUCAGGCAAUCAGAGGGGACAAUGGAAUCAUGUGCACACCGCUGUGGAGAGCAACUGAACAAGGCAGCUGACUGCCAGUGCAACCAUCAGUGUGAGCAGCACAAGGACUGCUGUGAGGACUACGAGAAACUGUGUACAAGUCAAGAAGAGCCCAAAGAAAUGGAGACAGAGACAGAAUGGGAAGAAGAG
rnacentral:lncRNA from 1 species